CCUACGGGUGGCAGCAGUAGGGAAUCUUCCACAAUGGGCGAAAGCCUGAUGGAGCAACGCCGCGUGGGUGAAGAAGGUCUUCGGAUCGUAAAACCCUGUUGUUAGAGAAGAAAGUGCGUGAGAGUAACUGUUCACGUUUCGACGGUAUCUAACCAGAAAGCCACGGCUAACUACGUGCCAGCAGCCGCGGUAAUACGUAGGUGGCAAGCGUUAUCCGGAUUUAUUGGGCGUAAAGGGAACGCAGGCGGUCUUUUAAGUCUGAUGGGAAAGCCUUCGGCUUAACCGGAGUAGUGCAUUGGAAAAUGGGAGACUUGGGGGCAGAAGGGGAGAGUGGAAAUCCAUGUGUAGCGGGGAAAUGCGUAGGUAUAUGGAAGAACACCAGUGGCGAAAGCGGCUCUCUGGUCUGUAACUGACGCUGAGGUUCGAAAGCGUGGGUAGCAAACAGGAUUAGAUACCCCGUGUAGUC
rnacentral:rRNA from 1 species